rnacentral:lncRNA from 1 species
AGAAGAGCUGAAGCCUCCCGACCAACUGAGCAAGGGAAGCUGGCCCCGAACUGGGAAGGACCAUACCGAGUCACGCGCAUCCGCCGACCCGGGACUUAUCAGCUAGAGUCCCUAGACGGGACUCUCAUUCCGUGGAGCUGGAGCUCUGAAAAUCUCCACGUGUACCAUCAGUAGAACCCCAAGGGGUUCCUCAUUAUUCGAUUUCAUUCUAUGGAUUUCAUUUCAUAAUUAAUUUAUGAUUUCCGAGCUCAUCGAUUCUCCUGAUUAUCUCAUGGUGUCAGGUUUAUCUCUCCUCCCCUGACCAUGGUCGGGAUGCCCUGCCACAACGGGAUGCCCCGGUUACCGGGAUGGCCCGAGACGUCGGGGUGCGGUCUUAGGUGACCAGACGACCUCGGCUCGUUCUCCAUCGGCUUCCACCGUCGAGCUCGGCUCGUGCUCCCCGACUAUGAGUUGCGGUCCUCUCUGACCAGACGAGCUCGGCUCGUUCGCCU